UACAGAGGGUGCAAACGUUGUUCGGAAUUACUGGGCGUAAAGCGCGUGUAGGCGGCUUCGCAAGUCGGGUGUGAAAUCCCACGGCUCAACCGUGGAAGUGCAUUCGAAACUGCGAGGCUAGAGUCCUGGAGAGGAAGGUGGAAUGCUUGGUGUAGAGGUGAAAUUCGUAGAUAUCAAGCGGAACACCGGUGGCGAAGGCGGCCUUCUGGACAGUGACUGACGCUGAGACGGCGAAAGCGUGGGGAGCAAACAGGG
rnacentral:rRNA from 1 species